GUUCUACCUUGACGAAUUGUAGUUUAAAGAAGUGUUUUCUGUUAGAUGAGUAGCAAAAGUUCCUUGGAAUGGGACAUCAUAGAGGGUGAGAAUCCCGUAUUUGGUUAUUCAUUCUAGCUUUGUGAUACACUUUCAAAGAGUCGGAUUGUUUGGGAAUGCAGUCCAAAAUGGGUGGUAAAUUUCAUCUAAAGCUAAAUAUUGGCGAGAGACCGAUAGCGAACAAGUACCGUGAGGGAAAGAUGAAAAGAACUUUGAAAAGAGAGUUAAACAGUACGUGAAAUUGUCAAAAGGGAAGCGUUUGACACCGGUGUUGUUUUUCCGAAAAUCAAUUACGAAUGGCUUGAUUUUGUGUUGUAUUGACCUUAUCAGCUUUCUGCACUUUUUUCGAGUCUUUCUU
rnacentral:rRNA from 1 species